UACGUAGGGGGCGAGCGUUGUCCGGAUUUAUUGGGCGUAAAGCGCGUGUAGGCGGCUAAGUAGGUCCGCUGUGAAAACUCGAGGCUUAACCUCGAGCUGUCGGUGGAAACCAUUUGGCUUGAAUCCGGGAGAGGGAUGCAGAAUUCCAGGUGUAGCGGUGAAAUGCGUAGAUAUCUGGAGGAAUACCGGUGGCGAAGGCGGCAUCCUGGACCGGCAUUGACGCUGAUGAGCGAAAGCUAGGGGAGCAAACGGG
rnacentral:rRNA from 1 species